UGGGGAAUAUUGCACAAUGGGCGAAAGCCUGAUGCAGCAACGCCGCGUGAGUGAUGAAGGUCUUCGGAUUGUAAAGCUCUGUCUUUUGGGACGAUAAUGACGGUACCAAAGGAGGAAGCCACGGCUAACUACGUGCCAGCAGCCGCGGUAAUACGUAGGUGGCGAGCGUUGUCCGGAUUUACUGGGCGUAAAGGGUGCGUAGGCGGAUGUUUAAGUGAGAUGUGAAAUACCCGGGCUUAACUUGGGUGCUGCAUUUCAAACUGGAUAUUUAGAGUGCAGGAGAGGAGAAUGGAAUUCCUAGUGUAGCGGUGAAAUGCGUAGAGAUUAGGAAGAACACCAGUGGCGAAGGCGAUUCUCUGGACUGUAACUGACGCUGAGGCACGAAAGCGUGGGUAGCAAACAGGAUUAGAUACCCUGGUAGUCCACGCCGUAAACGAUGAGUACUAGGUGUAGGAGGUAUCGACCCCUUCUGUGCCGCAGUAAACACAUUAAGUACUCCGCCUGGGAAGUACGAUCGCAAGAUUAAAACUCUAAAGUGAAUUGACGGGGGUCAUA
rnacentral:rRNA from 1 species